UGGGGAAUAUUGCACAAUGGGCGCAAGCCUGAUGCAGCCAUGCCGCGUGUAUGAAGAAGGCCUUCGGGUUGUAAAGUACUUUCAGCGGGGAGGAAGGGAGUAAAGUUAAUACCUUUACUCAUUGACGUUACCCGCAGAAGAAGCACCGGCUAACUCCGUGCCAGCAGCCGCGGUAAUACGGAGGGUGCAAACAUUAAUCGGAAUUACUGGGCGUAAAGCGCACGCAGGCGGUUUGUUAAGUCAGAUGUGAAAUCCCCGGGCUCAACCUGGGAACUGCAUCUGAUACUGGCAAGCUUGAGUCUCGUAGAGGGGGGUAGAAUUCCAGGUGUAGCGAUGAAAUGCGUAGAGAUCUGGAGGAAUACCGGUGGCGAAGGCGGCCCCCUGGACGAAGACUGACGCUCAGGUGCGAAAGCGUGGGGAGCAAACAGG
rnacentral:rRNA from 1 species